GCGGCGGACGGGUGAGUAACACGUAGGCAACCUGCCUCUCAGACUGGGAUAACAUAGGGAAACUUAUGCUAAUACCGGAUAGGUUUUUGGACCGCAUGGUCCGAAAAGAAAAGAUGGCUUCGGCUAUCACUGGGAGAUGGGCCUGCGGCGCAUUAGCUAGUUGGUGGGGUAACGGCCUACCAAGGCGACGAUGCGUAGCCGACCUGAGAGGGUGACCGGCCACACUGGGACUGAGACACGGCCCAGACUCCUACGGGAGGCAGCAGUAGGGAAUUUUCCACAAUGGACGAAAGUCUGAUGGAGCAACGCCCCGUGAACGAUGAAGGUCUUCGGAUUGUAAAGUUCUGUUGUUAGGGACGAAUAAGUACCGUUCGAAUAGGGCGGUACCUUGACGGUACCUGACGAGAAAGCCACGGCUAACUACGUGCC
rnacentral:rRNA from 1 species